AAAUGGAAAGUAAUGUCUAAUUUAUGUCCUACCUUCUUUCCUUAAAGGGUGUGAAAUACCCCAACAAUUCAAUUAUUUUGAAAUGGAGGAAGUAUUAUUUUAUUUAUUAUUUUACCUAUUAUUUUGUAGAAUUAGAAAAAAUGGUAACAACAAUAUUUUUGCAAGACUAAAAAAAAAGAAAAAAGCAACAAUUAAAGAUUUCAACUCUAAAAAAAACAUACAUCGAUUGAAAAUUUGAAUAUGAAUAUUUUAAUUUAAUAAAAAUAAAAUUUUCUUUCACGAUUUCCGCUCAAUAUGUGGUCGAUUCAAGAAAGUUGAUCAAUAAUCUUCAUGUUUUCUUCCUACAGCAUGG
rnacentral:lncRNA from 1 species